CCUACGGGAGGCAGCAGUGAGGAAUAUUGGUCAAUGGGGGAAACCCUGAUGCAGCGACGCCGCGUGUGGGAAGACGGUCCUCUGGAUUGUAAACCACUGUCCCCAGGGACGAAGAUGACGGUACCUGGGGAGGAAGCUCCGGCUAACUACGUGCCAGCAGCCGCGGUAAUACGUAGGGAGCGAGCGUUGUCCGGAAUUACUGGGUGUAAAGGGUGCGUAGGCGGGGAUGCAAGUUGGGUGUCAAAACUACCGGCUCAACUGGUAGUCGCACUCAAAACUGCAGCUCUUGAGUGAAGUAGAGGCAGGCGGAAUUCCUAGUGUAGCGGUGAAAGGCGUAGAUAUUAGGAGGAACACCAGUGGCGAAGGCGGCCUGCUGGGCUUUUACUGACGCUGAGGCUCGAAAGUGUGGGGAGCAAACAGGAUUAGAUACCCCGGUAGUC
rnacentral:rRNA from 1 species